rnacentral:rRNA from 1 species
AUUGAACGCUGGCGGCAUGCCUUACACAUGCAAGUCGAGCGGAUGAGUGGAGCUUGCUCCAUGAUUCAGCGGCGGACGGGUGAGUAAUGCCUAGGAAUCUGCCUGGUAGUGGGGGACAACGUUUCGAAAGGAACGCUAAUACCGCAUACGUCCUACGGGAGAAAGUGGGGGAUCUUCGGACCUCACGCUAUCAGAUGAGCCUAGGUCGGAUUAGCUAGUUGGUGAGGUAAAGGCUCACCAAGGCGACGAUCCGUAACUGGUCUGAGAGGAUGAUCAGGCACACUGGAACUGAGACACGGUCCAGACUCCUACGGGAGGCAGCAGUGGGGAAUAUUGGACAAUGGGCGAAAGCCUGAUCCAGCCAUGCCGCGUGUGUGAAGAAGGUCUUCGGAUUGUAAAGCACUUUAAGUUGGGAGGAAGGGCAGUAAGUUAAUACCUUGCUGUUUUGACGUUACCAACAGAAUAAGCACCGGCUAACUUCGUGCCAGCCGCCGCAGUAACAC